AAAAAGCUCGUAGUUGAAACUUGGGCCUGGCUGGCGGGUCCGCCUCACCGCGUGCACUCGUCCGGCCGGGCCUUCCUUCUGAAGAACCUCAUGCCCUUCACUGGGCGUGCUGGGGAAUCAGGACUUUUACUUUGAAAAAAUUAGAGUGUUCAAAGCAGGCCUUUGCUCGAAUACGUUAGCAUGGAAUAAUAAAAUAGGGCGUGCGUUUCUAUUUUGUUGGUUUCUAGAGACGCCGCAAUGAUUAACAGGAACAGUCGGGGGCAUCAGUAUUCAGUUGUCAGAGGUGAAAUUCUUGGAUUUACUGAAGACUAACUACUGCGAAAGCAUUUGCCAAGGAUGUUUUCAUUAAUCAGUGAACGAAAGUUAGGGGAUCGAAGACGAUCAGAUACCGUCGUAGUCUUAACCGUAAACUAUGCCGACUAGGGAUCGGGCGAUGUUCUUUUUCUGACUCGCUCGGCACCUUACGAGAAAUCAAAGUUUUUGGGUUCUGGGGGGAUUAUGGUCGCAAGGCUGAAACUUAAAGAAAUUGACGGAAGGUCACCACCAGGCGUGGAAGCCUGCGGCUUAAUUUGACUCAACACGGGGAAACUCACCAGGUCCAGAUGAAAUAAGGAUUGACAGAUUGAGAGCUCUUUCUUGAUUUUUCAGGUGGUGGUGCAUGGCCGUUCUUAGUUCGUGGGGUGACUUGUCUGCUUAAUUGCGAUAACGAGCGAGACCUUACUCUGCUAAAUAGCCAGGCUAACUUUGGUUGGUCGCCGGCUUCUUAGAGAGACUAUCAACUCAAGUUGAUGGAAGUUUGAGGCAAUAACAGGUCUGUGAUGCCCUUAGAUGUUCUGGGCCGCACGCGCGCUACACUGACAGAGCCAACGAGUUCUUUUCCUUGUUCGAAAGAAUUGGGUAAUCUUGUUAAACUCUGUCGUGCUGGGGAUAAAGCAUUGCAAUUAUUGCUUUUCAACGAGGAAUGCC
rnacentral:rRNA from 1 species